CAUCAGGGCUAUCUUCCUUUGCUCUUGGCCCUUGACCUGUCCCUGUGGAGUGUCAGCCCACAUGCAUGUGAGCCAACUUUGAGGAGCUCAGGCUGGCGGCAUUGCACUUUGACAGCACCCUCUGCAGAUCUACUUCUUUAUUAUCUUUUUGGAGAACAGGAAUCUUUGUCUGGAAAUUCCACAAGUUUGCCUUCUGCAAGAUUAAAAGUGCCACAAAGAACAAAAAUGAGCCUAGGACCAGGUGCACACUAGAAGCCAUUAGACAUGUUAAAGUUUCAUCUCCAUUGACCUGGUUUUCACAGUGACUGCCCUGGGGACUUAAUUAUUUUCCUGUGUUGCAAUGUUCCAGAUUGAAUUAUGCUAAAAAUAUAAAUAUGGAAUUUGCCUUUAAGCAAAGGUAAGCCAGUUCCCCAGUAGCUAUAGUUUGUUUAAAUUUCAGUUUUGACAGAUGACAAACAUUUUCAAUGAUCCCAAAUAUCACACU
rnacentral:lncRNA from 13 species